GACGAACGCUGGCGGCGUGCUUAACACAUGCAAGUCGAACGAAGUGGCGAACGGGGGAGUAAUACGUGGGUAACCUGCCCUCCUUUUUGGGAUAAGCCUUGGAAACGGGGUCUAAUACCGAAUAAAGGGGGAUGGGAUCGGGGCCUAUCAGGUUGUUGGGGGGGCGAUGGCCUACCAAGGCGGUGCCGGGUAGGCGGCCUGGGAGGGUGACCGGGCACAGUGGGACGGAGCAACGUCCUAGACGCCUCCGGGGGGCAGAAGUGGGGACGAUUGCACAAUGGGCGAAAGCCUCAUGCAGCGAGGCGGCGUGGGGGAUGAGGGCUUUCGAGUUGUAACCCUCUUUCGGUAGCGAACCGGUAGGUGGAGAAGAAGCGCCGGCUAACUACGUGCCAGCAGCCGCGGUAAUAC
rnacentral:rRNA from 1 species